rnacentral:misc_RNA from 1 species
GAUGAAGAACGCAGCGAAAUGCGAUAAGUAGUGUGAAUUGCAGAAUUCAGUGAAUCAUCGAAUCUUUGAACGCACAUUGCGCCCUUUGGUAUUCCAAAGGGCAUGCCUGUUCGAGCGUCAUUUGUACCUUCAAGCUCUGCUUGGUGUUGGGUGUUUGUCUCGCCUCUGCGCGUAGACUCGCCUCAAAACAAUUGGCAGCCGGCGUAUUGAUUUCGGAGCGCAGUACAUCUCGCGCUUUGCACUCAUAACGACGACGUCCAAAAGUACAUUUUUACACUCUUGACCUCGGAUCAGGUAGGGAUACCCGCUGAACUUAAGCAUAUCAAUAAGCGGAGGA